rfam:Alphaproteobacteria bacterium BRH_c36 BRHa_1005367, whole genome shotgun sequence.
CGGAGCGUAGCGCAGCCUGGUAGCGCACUUGCUUCGGGAGCAAGGGGUCGGGAGUUCGAAUCUCCCCGCUCCGA